rnacentral:rRNA from 1 species
AUACGGAGGAUCCAAGCGUUAUCCGGAUUUAUUGGGUUUAAAGGGUGCGCAGGCGGACUAAUAAGUCAGGGGUGAAAAGUCUCAGCUUAACUGAAAUCGUGCCUUUGAUACUGUUAGACUAGAGUAUAAUUGACGUGACUGGAAUGUGAUGUGUAGCGGUGAAAUGCUUAGAUAUGUCACAGAACGCCAAUCGUGAAGACAGGUCACGAAAUUAUUACUGACGCUCAUGCACGAAAGCGUGGGGAUCAAACAGGAUUAGAUACCCUGGUAGUCCACGCUGUAAACGAUGAUUACUCGUUGUUGGGCAGUGAUGCUCAGUGGCUAAGCGAAAGCGAUAAGUAAUCCACCUGGGGAGUACGAUCGCAAGGUUGAA